UUGCAGACGUGAGUCAUUGAAUCUUUGAACGCNCAUUGCGCCAGUUUACUGGCAUACUGCGUUGAGCGUNGNCCUUCCUCCACAGGUGCUGCUACUUCAGUAGUGAAAGGCAUGGACACGCACCGUUAGCAAACCGGUGUUGACCUACAAAUUCGACCUCAGAGUAGUAAGAUUACCCGCUGAACUUAAGCAUAUCAAUAAGCGGAGGAAAAGAAACCAACAGGGAUUGCCCUAGUAAUGGCGAAUGAACAGGCAAAAGCUCAGAUUUGAAACCCUCGGGAUUGUAAUUGGAGACCUGGAUUUGGCACGCUGACCAAGUCUUCUGGAACGGAGCGCCAUGGAGGGUGACAGCCCGUAGCAGCAGCCGCAGUAAAUCCGGGUCGACGAGUCGAGUUGUUUGGGAAUGCAGCUAUAAGUGGGUGGUAUGCUCCAUCUAAAGCUAAAUAUUGGCGAGAGACCGAUAGCGAACAAGUACUGUGAAGGAAAGAUGAAAAGAACUUUGAAAAGAGAGUGAAAAAGUACGUGAAAUUGUUGAAAUGGAAGGCAAUGAGGUGCGAUUGACCCGGACGUUUGCGGGCAGCACAAAAGCGCAGGCCGCCUCGGCAUUGCCUGCGUGCAUACUGCCUCGCG
rnacentral:rRNA from 1 species